GAUGAACGCUGGCGGCGUGCUUAACACAUGCAAGUCGAACGAAGCACUUAUGAUUGAGAUUUCGGUUGAUUGAUUAAGUGACUUAGUGGCGGACGGGUGAGUAACGCGUGGGUAACCUGCCUCGUACAAGGGGAUAACAGUUAGAAAUGACUGCUAAUACCGCAUAACCCGCUAAGGUCGCAUGACCUGGACGGAAAAGAUUUAUCGGUACGAGAUGGACCCGCGUCUGAUUAGCUAGUUGGUGAGGUAACGGCCCACCAAGGCGACGAUCAGUAGCCGGCCUGAGAGGGUGACCGGCCACAUUGGGACUGAGACACGGCCCAAACUCCUACGGGAGGCAGCAGUGGGGAAUAUUGCACAAUGGGGGAAACCCUGAUGCAGCAACGCCGCGUGAGUGAAGAGGUAUUUCGGUAUGUAAAGCUCUAUCAGCAGGGAAGAAAAAAUGACGGUACCUGACUAAGAAGCACCGGCUAAAUACGUAG
rnacentral:rRNA from 1 species